rnacentral:rRNA from 1 species
UGAACGCUAGCGGCAUGCCUUACACAUGCAAGUCGAACGGCAGCGGGCUCUUCGGAGCGCCGGCGAGUGGCAAACGGGUGAGUAAUACAUCGGAACAUGCCCAGUAGUGGGGGAUAGCUCGGCGAAAGCCGAAUUAAUACCGCAUACGACCUUCGGGUGAAAGGGGGGGAUCUUCGGACCUCUCGCUAUUGGAGUGGCCGAUGCCUGAUUAGUUUGUUGGUGGGGUAACGGCCUACCAAGACUGCGAUCAGUAGCUGGUCUGAGAGGACGAUCAGCCACACUGGGACUGAGACACGGCCCAGACUCCUACGGGAGGCAGCAGUGGGGAAUCUUGGACAAUGGGCGAAAGCCUGAUCCAGCAAUGCCGCGUGUGCGAUGAAGGCUUUCGGGUUGUAAAGCACCUUUGUCAGGGAAGAAAUGGUUCGGGCUAAUACCUCGGACUUCUGACGGUACCUGAAGAAUAAGCACCGGCUAACUACGUGCCAGCAGCCGCGGUAAUACGUAGGGUGCAAGCGUUAAUCGGAAUUACUGGGCGUAAAGCGUGCGCAGGCGGUUUACUA